rnacentral:rRNA from 1 species
CCUACGGGUGGCAGCAGUGAGGAAUAUUGGUCAAUGGCCGGAAGGCUGAACCAGCCAUGCCGCGUGAAGGUCAGUGCCCUAUGGGCGUUAAACUUCUUUUGUGCGGGAGCAAUAAUGGUAACGUGUGGCCAGACGAGAGUACCGUACGAAUAAGCAUCGGCUAACUCCGUGGCAGCAGCCGCGGUUAUUCGGGGGAUGCAAGCGGUAUACGGAUUUUUUGGGUUUAAAGGGUGCGUAGGCUGGGAGGUAAGUCAGCGGUGAAAUGCCCCCGCUCAACGGGGUGAAGUGCCAUUGAUACUGCCUUGCUUGAAUGCAGAUGCGGUGGGAGGAAUGUGUGGUGUAGCGGUGAAAUGCAUAGAUAUCACACAGAACACCGAUUGCGAAGGCAGCUUACGAAGCCGCGAUUGACGCUGAUGCACGAAAGCGUGGGUAUCAAACAGGAUUAGAUACCCGGGUAGUC